rnacentral:rRNA from 1 species
UACGGGAGGCAGCAGUGGGGAAUAUUGCACAAUGGGCGAAAGCCUGAUGCAGCUAUGCCGCGUGUAUGAAGAAGGCCUUAGGGUUGUAAAGUACUUUCAUCGGGGAGGAAAAACAAAACUAAUAAUUUUAUUUCUUGACGUUACCCGAAAAAGAAGCACCGGCUAACUCCGUGCCAGCAGCCGCGGUAAUACGGAGGGUGCUAGCGUUAAUCAGAAUUACUGGGCGUAAAGAGCACGUAGGUGGUUUUUUUAAGUCAGAUGUGAAAAUCCCUGGGCUUAACCUAGGAACUGCAUUUUGAAACUGAAAUACUAGAGUAUCGUAGAGGGAGGUAGAAUUCUAGGUGUAGCGGUGAAAAUGCGUAGAUAUCUGGAGGAAUACCUGUGGCGAAAAGCGGCCUCCUAAACGAAUACUGACACUGAGGUGCGAAAGCGUGGGGAGCAAAACAGGGAUUAGAUACC